AUAAACACACCAAAGAUUAAAUAUUUUCAAGAUAUGAAAAAGUGGCUAUGCCCUUAAUCUUACCAAUGCCCUCUAUUGCCGCCUUUAAAGCAGCCACAUCCUCUUCCACUUUAAAAUUGGCCUUGUCCGUCACAGUACCCCUUGUAUUGGACUAAUAAGAAGAAUAAAUACAAAACACCAGCCAUUAACCAGGGUUAGGCCACAUUUGGCACUUUAAUCUGGACCACCGGCGCAAUUAGCAAGAAUAUUUGUUGCAUUGAUGCAUCUUUUCCCGCCGAAAAGAUCAAAUACAGAGCUUGUAUUUUAACACCUUAGCGUAUACUACUGUACUGACAUACCUCAUGUUGUAAAACCAGUGAGUUAAGUUGAAUUUAUAUUGCAAUUCAUUAUGAAGUUGGAACUCUCAAAAAUACAAGCAGCAUGUUUCAAAACCAGUUUUAAUAUUUUUAAGUGGCUUUAAAUGUUAGGGAAUUUAACUUUUGUAGUACAAACAAACACAAAUGAAUUUGCGCUUACAGUUACGCUCAGUGAGGAGGGAGAAUCCAACAGCAAAUCCAAAUCAUCCUGCAGUGAUUAAAAAAAGCAUGAUUCGAAUAUUUUCAAUUCACUAAUGUUGUCCAACAAACAUUGCAUGCAGAAUUUCCCCAAAGUACUCACCCAAACGGACAUGUUUGUGCGAGUGGAUUUCAAGUUUUGCACUGCUGUGGAAGAGCAGAUCAUGGAAGAGAUCACAUUUCAGCUCAACUUUAUCAUCCUUGCGACCGGAUCCACUUCCGCAAACUUCCCAAACCCAGUGAAAAAUAUUUAAACCAAGAUAGCGUCAACAUGUGUUAGUUCCAAAGGGGUAACGUUUUACACGUGGUUAGACACUUUUAAAAAUAAAAACUAAAGGGGGAUCAAAUACGUUUUUUGGGCAACAGAAGAGAGCUUUUAUCUUACCUAAAUCAGAUGACAGGCUUGAUAUCGGUGGUGAAAUUCCAGAAUGUCACACACGCACUUUUCACGGAUGUGGAAAAGGCAACGCCCAUCGUGGCAGAGUUGAGUCAUCUUUUUUUUCUUUUCUUUUGUGGCAACUAGCCAACAUUUUUUUUACGAAGAGUAACGGUAAUUAAGUUAGAAAAUACAAUGUAAAAAUGUAAUUAAAGUAAAAGAACCUAAAUUGACGAGGAAAUACUCUACUUUGCAUGAAUUCCAAUGGUUCCAAUUGUUUACAACUAUGGGUUCUAUGCGUUGACACUUUUAGAAUUGCAAUAGUAUAUGAAAUAGUUUAAAAUUAUAAUUUAAAUAAAAUAUAUAUUUCUGGAUUUGCCACACGGAAGGCGGAAGACAGCUAUUCUUCAAGUGGACGUGUUGGACCGUACAAUGCACCUUGCGACACCUAGGGGUCAAUAAGUCACACAACAGUCGUGUGGCAUUUAUAAUGGAUCCGUUUGGCGAGGUUUUAUGGAUACUAUAUUUAUUUUUGUCUUCCAAUUAUGAUGUCAUUAAAUGUAAUUGCUCAUGCACAUGAGUAUGACGUAAUAAAAAGUUGCAAAUUCCAAGAUGGAUGUUUACGGUUAAUGACGGUUAACAAAAUGUAUGUCAUAGGCGCGAUGACGUCAUCACGCCCGUGGUGAUCAACACUAAAUCCAUUCCCAACCAUAUGAUAUCAACUUUUUAUAGUGCGUUAUAAGUUAAUAUUUAAUUGUAUUUGUUAUGUGAGUGACUUGUUAUUUUAUUAGGAACAUAAUAAUACAUAAAAUACAUUUAAAAUGACGUCGGAUCGUUUAUGGAUUAUUUACAAAGAAGUAGGAAGAGUUUGAGGACGACAAUUAUAAUUGAAAAGUGGACGUUUUCGUCUUGUACUGCACAAUGGAAAUUGCAGCAUCGAGAGGUCAAUGUGUAGCAAUGCAGCCGCGCAGCAGUUAUACGAAUGUAAUGCCUCCCUAAAUUUUGAUGAUUUGUUGAGGCCUACGGAUAAAUGCCACACAUUAAUUUUCCUCAUUAAAUUUAGGUGCUAAUCCAUGUUCAUGACGUAACUGUACUUCGUUACUGUACUAUGUAGAUUUGUAAAUUAUCUAAAUCAUUGACUGAAGUACUUAUUUAUUGAUGACUUUUUACUUUUACUCCACAGAUAUCUAUGUUUGUCUUUGUCAACAAAGGCUCGUUACUUUUUUCAACCUCCACAGAUGACUACAUGAUGUUAAAAAAUCCUUAACCAGUAAAAAGUAAAGUCAAACGUGGAGUAUAAGGCAGGUAAAACAGGUACAAUAGCGACAUGGAGGAACGUGAACCAGAAACAGAUUCAGGGAGGAAAUUCCCCAUCAAUGGCCUUAGAGAAAAGUAUUAUUUUUAAGUAUUCAUAAGAGAAUUGUUGGAAAUUGUUGGCUUGUAAUUUUUCAGUUGUUAUAAUUAGCACAUUCAGCAAUUUAUUUAUUUUUUGGGUAAUCAGUUCACAACAUGAGAAAAGCUAUGGGAACAUGUUUUAAUGGCAAAAAAGCCUGAGCCAAUGCUAGCUUUUUUCUUCUCAGUAUGAGCACUGUUACUUUUAUUAUAGUUGCUAAUAGGGAUAGUUGCUAACCUGUGGAGGUGGGUUGAGGGAGUUUGGGUUCCAACGGAGGCAAACUCAAGAAACAUUGGCCACUUCUGAAUAAUUUCACUGCUGAGUGUGGAAGGGAAGGUGUUUUUGCAGCAUCAUCUCUUGGAGGUUGAAAGAGCUUUUCUUCAAGACCCCUCGGUCCAGAAGGGUGAGAUACCAGGUGCACCCGGCUCCCUGGGCCACACAGGUGUAGUCACGUCACACCACCGUCAUUCAGAAGUCCUUGCAAGAGCUUGGUACUAUCUGCGGCUAUCUGCCAAAGUGGCUGGGGUAGCCUUACCAACGCAACACUGUAUGGAACUAGCAACACCUUGCAGCCACCAUUCAGUGGUCUCAAGGAAGAGUUCAUGGUGACUCACACCCUCCAGUGUAGAGACUUCGGGGAUGCUCAAGUGUCAGCAGCUGGCAUCAUGGUUAGAAAAGGAAGUAAAUAGAGAGCAUAGAAGGCUGUGCAGGUGGUGGCGGAGUCGCGCCUGAGACGAAAGGCAAGGUGGGCACCAUGUUAACCAGCAAAGCUUCCAAACAACCCAGGUCAGUAAAGUCCAGCGAAAGGAGAGACACCAUCUUCUCCAAGAAGAAGUGCGAGUGGGGCUGUAGGAGGAGCGAGUGGGUAGGGCAGUAAGGGCCCUGACAGCUGCGAGCAUGAACAAGGUGGGAGGGUACACUGCAGCACAGGAUCACCUGGUCUAACAUCUUGCAAACUGAUUUCUGCUGAGUCCGGUUCCUGGUGCAGGCAGUCCACGACGCCUUGCCUUGACCUGUUAACCUCCACAUCUAAGGAAAGAACGAAACACAGUCCUGCCCGAUCUGCUCUGAAAGAAGCUCAUUACAUCUCCUCAGCGCUGCCCAAAGACUCUGGUGACACGACCAAGUACUUAGGGAAGUUUUUGAUGGUUGAGCAUCAGCCGUUGACACUGACAAAAAUCAUAGCCACCAAAGAAAGCAAUCACCCUUCUCAAAGCUGGGGAGAAAUGGCUAUGGCAAAACCAGCAACAGGCCUUCUCCACAAAGCCUCUAACUGGCAGUUGCAGGCUGACCUGGGAAAGCGUCUGACAUUCCCACAACACAUUGCGUCAACCUCACUCCGCCCAGCCAUGAUAAUCACCUAAAAGGCAUCAAAACCUGAUCAUGUUGGCCCUGGUCCGUGGGUCACCUGGGUGAGGGUGUAUCUUGUGAGACCUGAAACACUUUACAAUCCCUGGUCACACAGAUUUACAACUCCUGCAACGGAUUUGCAACCCAGCGCAUUGCUGAAAUGUUUUACGAAUAACUAUACAGCAAUUUCAAUUUCACAUGUAACUGUGGAUCUGUCACCAAAUGCAAACAAGCGUUCACAAGAUUAUGCUACAAAGCAAUAUCAGUUUGAGCCCACACUGCAUGUCCAGAAUAGUUGCUAGCUGAAUUUAAAAUUAUUUUUGGGAACUUGAUCCCCAACACACACACACACACACACACACAUACACACGCACACACACACACACAUAGAGGAAUUUUUGUAUGAACUCGACUGUCAGAUCCCACAUGAAGAUUUUUAAGUCACAUCUGUGAACGUACUACUCUUAGCAUUCACUUUUGCAGACUUAUAACUUUCUUUUAAAAAUAUGAACCUGGAGGGCCCAAAACAAACUAGGAUGUACCAUGUCAGUCAUGACAGGGGUCAACGAGAAACUUCUGAGCAACGUACGUGACGAGUAAAAACAACAAAUUAAACGAAUUUUGGUGGAUCUAUUGCUCAGUUGUCUGUUUCAUUCGUGUGCAAAAUAAAAAUACGGCAUUGUUAUGGGUAUUUUGUGUCAACUUUGAGUGUAUAAAAACGAGCCGACCCCUUCGAGUAGAAAAGUCCACUGAGCAGCGAAUGGACGAGCCAAACAUUCGCAGCGAGGAGGCAGAGAUUAGCGACCGAGAGCUAAAGGCGGCGUGACAGACAGUCCAGUUUGUCGGACCUUUUUCUCUCCGGAAAACGAUGUGACAAUGCUAGCCGAGAGGACGAGCUCGGCGGCGAAAGGCAGGAGCACACGACGGCCAACUUCGGUUGUUUGACAAGCGGGGUAGAGAGCGGCGCACGCCAUGGCAACUCAGCCGAGCAUAUAUGAUGAAGAAAGGAAUCGUCUCCGCCUCCAAGCCUGGGAACAGAGGAACCAAGAAACCAGUCAAGCCAAAGAACUUGGUGCUGGGAAUGUGCCGCUUUUCGGGCAGCCAUAUAAAACAAACAAAGGCGAUGAGCUUUCCAACAGGAUCCAGAGAAUGCUGGGCAGCUAUGAAGAUGUGAACAAUCCAACAGAGCCUUCAGCAGCUCCUGCAGACUUCACACAGUCUGAUCGAGGGCAGCCAAACUCUGAUUGGCCCGGCAAACCUCUCGUCCAAAACCUGGCCCAUCGCGUAUCCUGCCAAAACCUCCCAAGUAGUAAUUACCCCUUUCAGACAAUGAGAGACAUCCCCCCUUCAUCCCCAAACAGCCAUGGAAGCUCACUCAGUAUGCCAAAGGCUUCACUGGAUCAUCAGAAGAAGGUUGAAACUUUGUCACAUCUCAGGGAGGAUGCUAGCAGUUCUCAGGAAAGGUCUGCUCAGUGUCUGGAUGUCAAGCAGAUACCUUUCCUACAUUCCAGUGCGCCCAAAGAUGCUAAAGACACCUCCGAUUCACAUCAGGAGUCCAUAGAACCCUCCUCCACUGCCACAACGGUGGACUUUUCUGUGUUUAACCUCAGGCAGUCUCCAGCGGACGCUUCUCUGCAUCAGGCCGGCAAAAGCAGCAACUCCCUCCUCUCGCAGAAUUUCCCACCUCUGUCCUCGUCCAAGCCGCCCAGUGUUGUCAUGAUGCAGAAGCCCACGGCGUAUGUGAGGCCUAUGGACGGUCAGGACCAGCUACUCACCGGCUCGCCGGAGUUGAAACCUUCGCCCGAGCCACAUGUACCUCUGCAGGAGAUCCACAAGGCCCACCAUGCAAAGGCAAUAAUGUUUCCUCAGUAUCUGGAGACAAACGCAAAUGAAGCAGUGUGUGUGGAAGACAUCUUGAAGGAGAUGACUCACUCCUGGCCCCCCCUCUUGUCAGCCAUGCACAUCCUUAACUCUGACUCAUCCCCAACCAAGGAAGCAGAGCAAGUACCUUCAUGUCCAGGAGGACAAAAAAGCCACGACCGCUCUCCUGGUGAUCCUCGCCAUCUCGACCUGCAAAGCUCCAAAUUAUCUUCGCACAAAGAGGCUCAUUCCAGUGGUGUGGAGUCGGCGAGCUCCAGUGACUCUGACAGCAGCUCCAGAUCUGAGUCGGAUGGAGAAAGCAUUGUCGAUGAGCCUUGUGGAUUGAUAACGAGCAACAAAACUGAGCUUGAUGCUGCGCCAGUGUGUGGCAACUGGCAGUUGGGCAACUGGAUCCGGUCCAGCCAACCGAACUCCGGCAGUGAGAGCCAAGGUGGAUCCAACGUCGUCUGCGAGAAACAUGCUCGCAACCCGCCGCACGGGUCCGAACACCUUACUGAGGAAGCAACCCAGUCAACGCAGCAAGGCGGAAACCCGCCUGAAGUGCAGCCCUGUGGCGAGAGUUCUCAUGAGAGCGGCAGUUCCGGGAAGCACGGGGCGCGCAAACUGCAGAAGGGUUAUGUGAAAUGUGAGGACACUUUAGCAGGAAAAGCACCCCCUUUCUCAGACAGACCCAUGGUCAAAACGAAAACGGAACGCUUGAAUAAUGUUAGCAGUGACUCUAAGAGUAAAAGGACCUUUAAGAUAGCGGAGGUGCAGAAGAAUGAAUCCAGACCCGAGGUGGUCCAACGUGACGCUCUGUGUCCAUCAUGUCCCCACCACUGCUCUUGCCAUAUUUCCAGCCAAACUCCCAUGUUAAAAAUCAGUAGUAGCAAAGCCAAUGUGGAAAUCGUUCAACAGGCCAAAACCAUUCCCAAAGUAGAGUCCGCCACAACCCACAAGUCCUGCAAGAACUCUGGGCAUGUCCCUAAAUCUCAGGACAUCUGCGCUAGGCCUGCUGGAUGCUUACUAGUAAAGAUCGACCUCAGUCUGCUCUCAGGAGUCCCUAAGGGGACACCCGGGAAGGCAGGGACCUGGAAACACCCUAAAGCCAGCAAGAAGACUCUACCUCAAACCGUGGACAUGGACGACAAGACUCUUCCCAGAAAAAAGCGGAAACUGGAGAAAAAGAGGACUUCAUCCAAUCAGGACUCUUCUGUGAAAGUGGAGGGUUGUGCCACCCAACCAGAUGAGCCACAGCACAAGAUGACCAAGAAAAAGCAGGUACACUUGCAGAAGCCCCCAAAAGACUCCACACACCAGAAGGGGCACAAAGGAUCUCGUGUGGAGCCGCAUAAGGACGCCCCCAAGAGCAAAGACUCCUCCAAGAACAAAAGCAGCCACGCAAAGCACAUGCACGCGGACAAGCAGAAGCAGUCGUCGGCCUCACGACCCCCCAAGGAAGUAGUGACCUCCAGACCCUUGCUCAGAUCUGAAGACAGGCAGUAUCCAGUGAAGCACUACAUCAAGGAGGCCAAACGACUGAAGCACAAAGCAGACGCUGAGUCAGAUAAACGCAGCAAAGCGUUCAACUACCUGGACGCCGCUAUGUUUUUUGUGGAGAGUGGCAUCGCCAUGGAGAAGGACCCGCAGAUUUCUAUGUCUUCCUACACCAUGUUUGCUGAGACGGUGGAGCUCCUCAAGUUUGUCCUGAAGCUUAAGAACUCUGCAGACAUGACUGCCCCCCCCUCAGACAAGGACUUUGUAGCAUUAUGUCUGAAGUGCCAGUCUCUCCUGCAGAUGGCGAUGUUUCGCCAUAAGCACAAAACUGCGCUCAAGUACUCAAAGAUGCUCACUGACCACUUCAAUAAUCCUGCACUUGAGUCUUCUAUCUGCGCCACAAAAGGCCCGAACACGCCGUCCCCUAUGGUCGGCAUCCCGUCCCCAGCCUGUGGCAGUGGCAACACCGUGGCCGUUCCAGUCGCCGUGGAGCAGGUGGCGCUUUCCUAUGUCAACAUCACCACGUUAUUCCUGAGCGCUCACGAACUGUGGGAGCAGGCGGACCAGAUGUCAGGCAAAGGCAGCGGUCUUGUGGCAGAGCUGGAUGCCGUGGUGGGCCCGCUGAGCCUGACUUCUAGCGUGCGCUCCAUGGUGCAUUACACCCAACAAGGCGUGGCGUGGCUGCGACGAGACAGCUCAAAAACCCAAAUGAAUGUCCGCUGAAGGUACCCGAACCCCGGUGUGUGGGUCACGUGCUGAAGAAGGACUAGAACUGUGGCUUAAGUGGAUUCAGUAGUGAGUUAAAAAACUAAAAUAAAAUUAAUUGCACUUAUUAGAAAGCAGGUUAGAAUGCCCCCAGAUCAGGCCAAGUCAUAUACAAUUGCUUUUUAAAUAGGAGCAUGGCUGUGAUUGAUUUAUUAUCACAACUUUUUGUUAUCCUGAUACGUCUAUGACCUGCACAUUCACCUAUACAGGUUUCCCUCACCUAAUCGCGAUUCACUACUCACAAAUUAAACUAUUAUAGAUGUAGUUGUUAUUUGCGGAAAAACUUGCCUAUUAGAUGUUUUUGGUCUCUUUCUGAAAUGCACGAACUCAAGAUAGCACCAAAACUCUGUAUAAUAGAAAAGUAGUGCUUUGGUGCUAUCUUGUGGCAUUUUGCAGCGACAGAGCUAUGUUGAACUGAAUGGAGGAGCUUCUGUUAGACUUCCAUAGCACUGUCUGAUAGAAAAGUCGUGCUUUGGUGCCAUACUUUUGCAUCUGUAGGCAAUUCUAAACCACGAGCAAUAUAAAGUUUGGUGUCAAACUCAUCCUGCAUUGGUAUCCUUACACAGGACAGCAAACCAGGAAAAGGUCCAAAAAAGCAGACUUACAUUGGUUGGUAUGUAAGGAGUUUCAGGGGCCUCUGAUACUAUGUGUGAAGUCUGCAAAUUUUUUUGGUCAACUUCAACUCGCUAUUCGAGCCAUGCCACAAAUAGCUUAAAUCUACAAGUAAUUGCAUGUAGAUGCCAUAAAAUGGCGCCAAAUUACUACUUUUCAAAUAGACAGGCCUUUGGCCGGUCUAAUAGUGCUUUCCUUCAUUUGAACAUAGUUCCUUGACACCAAGAUGCUACAAAUUUGCACCAAAGCUCUAACUACUUUCUUUGUGAACAGGGCUUUGGCAGGGCAUUUCAGAAAAGGCACAGAAACAGUCAAUAGGUGAGUUUGUUCGCCAAUAAAAGGUUCCAAAAUCAAAUUCGCCAAUAGGAAGGGGCCACUGUUAUGACAUCACCACUUGCUUAGAAAGACCUCAAGUUAGACUUUUUUUUUUUUUUUUUUUCUCUCUCUCUUCAGUGUUGUCCAGUACAAUUAAUGGCAUCAUGGUGAAGAGCAAGCACAAGCUAAAGUGCCUUUAUUCUCUCAGCUUUUUCCUAGUGACAAGGACAACUUUCAUAGUACAAUUGCCAAUCAUGUUUUUGAGCACACUUUAUUUUUUAUAAUUUAUUGUUAAUAUAUAUUUCUUGUACAAACUGUGCACUUUCCCUUUGAGUUUAGAUGAGGAAACCAUCGGAGCCCCAGAGGCAGAUGUCUUUUUCACAGGGCUUUACCCCCCCCCCCUUACUUUAGGUACACUAGCCGAAAAAAAGUGUUGUUGGGAUAAUAGCCAGAUUGAGUCACGUUUCAGUUGACAUGGGAGUACAUCAAACAAAAAGUACUUAACUUUCAAACAGCACCAAGUGCUUGCCUUGGCUUGAUUUAUUUUUUUUGUUUUUUUCAUUUUGUUUUUUAAUUAUGAAGCUUUUGUUGGUGCAUUUAAAAAAAUAAAAAUAAAAAAAUCACGUUUUGUGGGGGGAGAAAUUCACCCCACUUGGUUUUGAUAGUUUAUUCAGUUGGUGUGUGUAGUUUGAAUGAUGAAAGCAAAGAGGAAUGGUUUAAAAAAUCUUUAUUUCCCCACCAAAAAUUCAAAAGAAAAAUUACAUGAAAGUGUCACAGCUUGCCCUCGGGAUUAUCUCUCCUACCAUCGGUGUAGUUUGUCCAACCUGCGGCAAACGUUAACGAAUGACUCUGCAAUGGAUUUACACUUCUUUGUCAGAUGAUAAUCAUGGCUAUGCGAAUGUACUGGAAGGUGGGAAUGUUUUUGGAUUUUGUGGAAUAUCUCUAUUUUCUGUUGCAGUGUGCAGAGAAAAAUAAACGCUGAAAAUGAAUUUGUUGUUUACAUUUUAUUUCCCCCCCCAACACAAAUACAGUUCAGUUAGGUGUUGUGUACAGUCUAUUUGACCCGAUUAGAUACAAUAUUGCAAUACAGUAGUACUAAUGUAAUUCAUUCCAUGACUGAGCUCAGUUUACUCGUAUCUAAAAUUGUGAGUAAGGCGCGUGAUGCUGGACGGCUGUUGUGGUGCUCUCUGCCAUAAUCUUGACGCAAUGUAUCUGAAGCUCGCGUGUCCCUCAUACUUUGGCUCUCAACACAAGUUGGUGCAUUCCAAAAUCAAGAUACCACUGUGUUUUUAGAUUACAAAAAGUGUGAAAUUUAUAUUUGUCACAACAUUAUCCAAGUUACGCGUCUUGAUUCAUCCGCAAAGUUGAAUGCAACUUAAAAGUGAAAUGUUAAUGUUUCUUCAACUUACCCAAAAAAUCUUAGGUUUUCAGAAAUGUACAACUCACCACGUCAACGUUAAUAGUUGUUGUUCAUCUGUGGAAAAACGACUAACAUUAAACAGUAAAAUCAACCAAUUCACAUUGGUGUUAAAAAUUUACAUUAUCCUUCAGAGAGCUGAGAAGAAAGUACUACCAUGCUGUUGACGUACGCCUGUUCGUCCUUGAGGACGGAAACGAGCCUGGCCUUCUCAGCCCAACAGCAGUGCAUAGCCGUGUGGGGGAGUCCACGAUGUCCAUGUUGUUGUAGUCGUAGCACGUUGUUGUUCUUCCUCCAGCCAGGGUUGCUGCCCCAAUCAGGAGGUGCACAGGGACACGUGAGGAGGCUGCUUUGACCAAGGAAAAAAGUGACCAAAAGUCAAGUUAAGUGACAGGGGCUUUUGUUUACCCGGUACUGACGGGGGCACCGGAGGCAGGAUGGGGUUCUGUCCUUUGGCUAUCAUGCUUAUGCAGUCUUGAAAAAAACUCUUUAAAAUAUACUAUUUUCUCCUAUUAUGCGGACUUUCCUGAAGAAAAACAAACUUGCAUGGAAAGAAAUCUUGGGGGAAAAAAAUGCAAAGUAUUUCAUCUAUUUAAAAAAAAAAAAUACACCUUUUCAUUAACUUUUUUUUCCACUUAAUAUUGCAACUUUGUUGGGCUAUUUUCUUUUUCUUGACAAAUACAACUUAUUCAAUGAAUAUUUGUUCCCCUUUUUCUGAUUAGCUAUGAGGUGUGACAAAGAAUUACAGACAACGGCAUUCCAUAAUUUCCUGAAAUUUAUUGAACCAAUUACAACAAAAGCACAUUGCAAAAGAACUAACAAAACAACUACUACCAUAUUCAGGCCGUUUGUAUCAGUGCCUUGUAGAUUGUGCAAUUUUGCUAAAUAGAACGAAACAUUUGUAUCCAGAAAUGCUGCUUGUGACAAAGUGUGAAAUAUACAACUAUUCUAUUCAUCUUGGAAAAUUCUAGCACAACAAAGGAUUAGAAGACUAAUACAGCUAUAUUUGUAUAUUAGAAAAGCAUCCAUAAUAUAUUAAAAUAUAUUUGUAUACAUAGGGACCGCCUUCAAGGAACAUUGUGUGUAAUUUAGCUUUUCUGACAGUCCAGCUAUCGUACCAAAAAACAACACACAAAGCAUUCCCUGACACAUUUGAAUGUUUCUCUGCAUAACAUGGCAAAUAAGUUUGCUUCAAUAAAAAAAAAAAAACAGGUGUCAGGAUUUUUUUUCCCCGACAGAUGACUGAUUUGUCAGGCAUGUUUGUUCAAGCAUGAUUAUGACUGGUGCAAUUGAAAUUCUGUAGCAUUCACUGACCCUGGCACCCAAGGCAUGUGAACCUAGUCAGAAGCGAGAUUAUGAUACUGGACUACUUUUUCAUUUUUUUAGCUAGUUUCCCUUAUAUUAAAAAAAAAAAUUUUUUUUUUAAAUAUAUUAUUCUGAGUAUUUGUGGCUGAAAUAUUUUUAGGCUUUUUAUAACAUCCUCUGAGGUUUUACAUGUUUUUACAAUUUACUUUUCACUAAGCCACACCCCCGUAAACAGAGACUGGCCAAUCACAGCGGUUCAAUAGUUCUGGGCUCUUGAUAAAGCUACACACAUUGCACUGGCUUACUGACUAUUGUAAAAUAAUCCUAUGUUGUUAGCUUGUUAACCAAAAUGCUCGUGAGCCGUGAGAUGGCUGAAUUUUCCCAACAGGAUUAAUAAAGUAUUUAUCUAAAGCUAUGUGAACAAUGUGAGGUCUAGUUAUUAUCUGGAGCACAGGCUAAGAUAGCAAUGCUAGAAAUGUUGCUUUUAUUCCAUUCACAAAAUUAAACCAGGGAAAACUAGACUCUGGAAAAAAGCUAUGUAGUUCUAAAUGGACAAAGUUGAAUGCAAUGUCUGUAAAAUAAUGCUAUGCUGCUGUUAACUCGUCAUCCAAAAUGCUAAAGCUAUGCGACCAACCUGAGGCGUAGUAAUAGUAUAGUUAUCCAUAUCGCUGGUUAAACUAACAUUGGUUGAAAUGUUUCUUUUAUUCUGUUUCCAAAAUUAAGACCAAUUCCCAAAUUAACGAGACAAUGGAUAAAGCUAUGUGGUUGCCCAAAAUGCUUAAGUUAUGCUACCAACACAAGGCCUACUUACUUUCCAUAGUACUGGGGAAGCAUUAAAAAAAUUAUAUUCUCAACACUAAGCCAGAUAAAUCCAUAAUAUAAAACGCUAUGCUGCAGUCCAGUGUUAUAGCUGAAUGUAUUAGCUCAGCAACCAAAAUGCUAACCCAAUGCGACCAACGUAAAACCUAGUUACAAUUAAGAACACUGGCUAUGCUGAAAUUUGUUUAUGUUUAUCCUGCGCUGAAAAACUAAGCCACAUGAAUACGGAUUUUAGAAAAAGUUACGCUGUUGUUUGAAUGCUGUUGUUAGCUCGUUCCUCCAAAUUCCAACACUGGGCUAUCAGUGUGAGGCCCAGUUACUUAGUAAAAGGUCAAUUGCACGGCAGGCUGGAUCAAAUGCUCUUCUGACGUAUAUGGCGGUUGUUGUAACAUGAACAAAAGGAAGGCUAUGAAAGAGUGAUGCGUAAAGAGCACCAGAAGAUGAUAAUUUGUGCAUUUCUGUUCCGCCGUCACAUGCAGUUGACAACGUUGCUGGAUCCCUGGCCGACAUCUCUGAUCUGGCUUACAUGAGACGAGCACACGGCUACGCCCGCUCCGGCUCGGCAGUGCGACACGGAGCCGACCAGCUCCCACCUGGAGACAUGAUGCAAGGCGACACCGUCAAAGACCGACCCUCGAUGGACCCCUCCCUUUGUCUGCCCCUCACCUGUUCAUGCGCGGCUCAAAGGCCUCCACCGUGUUCAGAGAUGGGGCUUGGUGGCAAUGACCAAAUCUGAGGCUGUUGCAGUAUGGAUUCUCCACUGACCAACUGGGACAAGAUCUGAAGUGGACCACUUCCCCGGAGACUUGUUGCUGGAUUCUGCAUCCGCCGUCUGGGCCAGGUCCUGAGGCAGAACCACUUUCCCAAAGGUGUCUACCUGCGGCACUUCAUCUAAUCGCUUUAAAUGGAUUCUUGUGCCAUCUUAACAUUGUACAGCACCCUACUAUGUAAAACAUUUUUUCCCACUUGACAUACAUUGUAGCCUGGUCACCCUGAAAGGGGGAUCCCUCCAUCUGUGGUCCCUUCCCUAGGUUUCUUGUUUUUUCCCCAAAUGGAGUUUUGAGUUUUUCCUUGCUCGAUUGGGGGGGAUUAGAUCAGGGGAUGUCAUCUAUCUUCGUCAACUGUGGGCCUGUGAAGCCCUUUGAGAGUCUUUUGUGAUGAAGGGCCAUACAAAUAAACUUCACUUAACGCA